rnacentral:rRNA from 1 species
UACAGAGGGUGCAAGCGUUAUCCGGAUUCACUGGGUUUAAAGGGUGCGUAGGCGGGCAGGUAAGUCCGUGGUGAAAUCUCUGAGCUUAACUCAGAAACUGCCAUGGAUACUAUUUGUCUUGAAUGUUGUGGAGGUAAGCGGAAUAUGUCAUGUAGCGGUGAAAUGCUUAGAUAUGACAUAGAACACCAAUUGCGAAGGCAGCUUACUACACAAAUAUUGACGCUGAGGCACGAAAGCGUGGGGAUCAAACAGG